UCGAGCGCACCUUCGGGUGAGCGGCGGACGGGUGAGUAACGCGUGGGAACGUGCCCUUUGGUUCGGAACAACACAGGGAAACUUGUGCUAAUACCGAAUGUGCCCUUCGGGGGAAAGAUUUAUCGCCAUUGGAGCGGCCCGCGUUGGAUUAGGUAGUUGGUGGGGUAAAGGCCCACCAAGCCGACGAUCCAUAGCUGGUCUGAGAGGAUGAUCAGCCACACUGGGACUGAGACACGGCCCAGACUCCUACGGGAGGCAGCAGUAGGGAAUCUUGCGCAAUGGGCGAAAGCCUGACGCAGCCAUGCCGCGUGAAUGAUGAAGGUCUUAGGAUUGUAAAAUUCUUUCACCGGGGAAGAUAAUGACGGUACCCGGAGAAGAAGCCCCGGCUAACUUCGUGCCAGCAGCCGCGGUAAUACGAAGGGGGCUAGCGUUGCUCGGAAUUACUGGGCGUAAAGGGCGCGUAGGCGGAUAGUUUAGUCAGAGGUGAAAGCCCAGGGCUCAACCUUGGAACUGCCUUUGAUACUGGCUAUCUUGAGUUCGGGAGAGGUGAGUGGAAUGCCGAGUGUAGAGGUGAAAUUCGUAGAUAUUCGGCGGAACACCAGUGGCGAAGGCGACUCACUGGCCCGAUACUGACGCUGAGGCGCGAAAGCGUGGGGAGCAAACAGGAUUAGAUANCCUGGUAGUCCACGCUGUAAACGAUGAGUGCUAGUUGUCGGCAUGCAUGCAUGUCGGUGACGCAGCUAACGC
rnacentral:rRNA from 1 species